UACGUAGGGGGCAAGCGUUGUCCGGAUUUAUUGGGCGUAAAGAGCGUGUAGGCGGCCAAGCAGGUCCGCUGUGAAAACUCGAGGCUCAACCUCGAGACGUCGGUGGAAACCGUUUGGCUAGAGUCCGGAAGAGGAGAGUGGAAUUCCCGGUGUAGCGGUGAAAUGCGCAGAUAUCGGGAGGAACACCCGUAGCGAAGGCGGCAUCCUGGACCGGCAUUGACGCUGAGGCGCGAAAGCCAGGGGAGCAAACGGG
rnacentral:rRNA from 1 species